GAUGAAGAACGCAGCGAAAUGCGAUAAGUAAUGCGAAUUGCAGAAUUCAGUGAAUCAUCGAAUCUUUGAACGCACAUUGCGCCCGCCAGUACUCUGGCGGGCAUGCCUGUCUGAGCGUCAUUUCAACCCUCGCGCCCGGCUUCUGUCGGGGGCGGUGUUGGGGAUCGGCCUCCCGUCUUCCGGGCGGCCGGCCCCUAAAUGGAGUGGCGACCGCGCCGUAGCCUCCUCUGCGUAGUAGUGAAACACUCGCGGGCGGAGAGCGGUGCGGCCCGCCGUAAAACCCCCAACUCUUCUAAGGUUGACCUCAGAUCAGGUAGGAAUACCCGCUGAACUUAAGCAUAUCAAUAAGCGGAGGA
rnacentral:misc_RNA from 1 species